rnacentral:rRNA from 1 species
GUCGAGCGGAAACGAGUUAUCUGAACCUUCGGGGAACGAUAACGGCGUCGAGCGGCGGACGGGUGAGUAAUGCCUAGGAAAUUGCCCUGGUGUGGGGGAUAACCAUUGGAAACGAUGGCUAAUACCGCAUAAUACCUACGGGUCAAAGAGGGGGACCUUCGGGCCUCUCGCGUCAGGAUAUGCCUAGGUGGGAUUAGCUAGUUGGUGAGGUAAUGGCUCACCAAGGCGACGAUCCCUAGCUGGUCUGAGAGGAUGAUCAGCCACACUGGAACUGAGACACGGUCCAGACUCCUACGGGAGGCAGCAGUGGGGAAUAUUGCACAAUGGGCGCAAGCCUGAUGCAGCCAUGCCGCGUGUGUGAAGAAGGCCUUCGGGUUGUAAAGCACUUUCAGUCGUGAGGAAGGUAGUGUAGUUAAUAGCUGCAUUAUUUGACGUUAGCGACAGAAGAAGCACCGGCUAACUCCGUGCCAGCAGCCGCGGUAAUACGGAGGGUGCGAGCGUUAAUCGGAAUUACUGGGCGUAAAGCGCAUGCAGGUGGUUUGUUAAGUCAGAUGUGAAAGCCCGGGGCUCAACCUCGGAAUAGCAUUUGAAACUGGCAGACUAGAGUACUGUAGAGGGGGGUAGAAUUUCAGGUGUAGCGGUGAAAUGCGUAGAGAUCUGAAGGAAUACCGGUGGCGAAGGCGGCCCCCUGGACAGAUACUGACACUCAGAUGCGAAAGCGUGGGGAGCAAACAGGAUUAGAUACCCUGGUAGUCCACGCCGUAAACGAUGUCUACUUGGAGGUUGUGGCCUUGAGCCGUGGCUUUCGGAGCUAACGCGUUAAGUAGACCGCCUGGGGAGUACGGUCGCAAGAUUAAAACUCAAAUGAAUUGACGGGGGCCCGCACAAGCGGUGGAGCAUGUGGUUUAAUUCGAUGCAACGCGAAGAACCUUACCUACUCUUGACAUCCAGAGAACUUUCCAGAGAUGGAUUGGUGCCUUCGGGAACUCUGAGACAGGUGCUGCAUGGCUGUCGUCAGCUCGUGUUGUGAAAUGUUGGGUUAAGUCCCGCAACGAGCGCAACCCUUAUCCUUGUUUGCCAGCACUUCGGGUGGGAACUCCAGGGAGACUGCCGGUGAUAAACCGGAGGAAGGUGGGGACGACGU